UGCAAGUCGAACGAGAACGGAUAUUAGCUUGCUAAUAUUGUCAGCUAAGUGGCGCACGGGUGAGUAAUAUAUAGUUAAUCUGCCCCAAAGAAGAGAAUAAUUGUUGGAAACGACUUGUAACGCUCUAUAUGCCUUUAUUACAUAAGUAAGCAAGGGAAACAUUUAUGGCUUUGGGAUGGGACUGUACGGUAUCAGCUAGUUGGUGAGGUAAUGGCUCACCAAGGCUAUGACAUCUAACUGGUUUGAGAGGAUGAUCAGUCACACUGGAACUGAGACACGGUCCAGACUCCUACGGGAGGCAGCAGUGGGGAAUAUUGCACAAUGGAGGAAACUCUGAUGCAGCAACGCCGCGUGGAGGAUGACACAUUUCGGUGCGUAAACUCCUUUUAUAUGAGAAGAUAAUGACGGUAUCAUAUGAAUAAGCACCGGCUAACUCCGUGCCAGCAGCCGCGGUAAUACGGGGGGUGCAAGCGUUACUCGGAAUCACUGGGCGUAAAGAGCAUGUAGGCUGGUUUGUAAGUUGGAAGUGAAAUCCUAUGGCUUAACCAUAGAACUGCUUCCAAAACUGCAGACCUAGAAUAUGGGAGAGGUAGAUGGAAUUUCUGGUGUAGGGGUAAAAUCCGUAGAGAUCAGAAGGAAUACCGAUUGCGAAGGCGAUCUACUGGGAACAUUAUUGACGCUGAGAUGCGAAAGCGUG
rnacentral:rRNA from 1 species